rnacentral:rRNA from 1 species
CGAGCCAACGUGAGCCUACCUGUCUCUCUAGUGCCCCAAUAAUUUAACCUUUAGGUGAAAAGGCCUAAAUAUAACUAAUAGACAAGAAGACCCUAUCGAGCUUCAUCGCAUAAAUGACUCACCUGGACUAACCAUAUAUUAACUUCCACGUAUCAUCCAAGCUAUUUUGUUGGGGCAACAAAGGAACAACAAAACCUUCCUUUAAAUAAUAAAUCUACCACACAACGACCCAAUAAAUUGAUCAAAGGAAAAAGCUACCGUAGGGAUAACAGGUUAAUUUUUCUCGAGAGCCCACAUCAACAGAAAAGUUUGGCACCUCGAUGUUGG